GGAGGGAAAGGAGCUGGGCUCCCCGCGGAAUGCAAAUCCGUCGGCCGCGCCUAACGGUCGGGGUGGUGUUCGAUUCCCACUUCCCUCCUCCA
rnacentral:tRNA from 1 species